rnacentral:rRNA from 1 species
AGAGUUUGAUCCUGGCUCAGAACGAACGCUGGCGGCAUGCCUAACACAUGCAAGUCGAACGCCUCUGGGGUUUUGGCCCCUGGGGAGUGGCGCACGGGUGAGUAGCGCGUGGGAACCUGUCCUUUUGUGGGGGAUAACCGAGGGAAACUUCGGCUAAUACCGCAUGCGCCCGGAGCGAUCCGGGGAAAGAUUUAUCGCAG